GCAGGGCACAGGAACUACCCUCACGUCAGCCAGGCAGGAGGGGCAGUGGGCAGAGCCUGGCUCGGUAACACUGGGCUUUGAUGAGGGGAGGGGGGCGGGCCUGAGGAACAGGCCAAUUCCAACAAAGAGGUCAGCACAGACCAAGGCGCAGAGGAAUAAGCAGGUUGGCUUGGCUGCAUGAUCAGAGUGAGGACGGUGGAAGUAAGGGACAAGCCAUUCAUGUGGAAGUCUUAUCUUGUGCCCUGCCCUCAACAUGCAGCUGCAUGAGCAUCACCUAGAGGCUUGUCAGACAUGCAGAAUCCCGGGCACGGCCCACACCUCUUAAGUCAGAACCUCAUUUAACAAGAUCUCCAGCUGACCUGAAUGCACGUUAAGGUUUGAGAAGCACUGCUGACCACAAGUCUAUGGGUUCCAAGGGGUGCAACAGCGGGUGGCCGAGAAAGCUGAGAUGCAGUCCCUUCCUCCCAGAACCGCCACCUUCAGCAGCGGCAGUGGCAACAACAGAAGAGCAAGCCACGCUCAUUGUGGACCCGCUCUGUGCAGGUGGGAAAACUGAGGCACAGCCCAAGAUCACCAAGCCAGUAAAGGCGAGUCGACGUCCUCUACACGGCAGGGUUAUACCCAGCGACCACGGAAGGUGGGGCCUCGCCUGCUUCCUGCCGCCCUCCCCAACUGGUCCCACGACAGGCCGCCUCUGAAACCGCCAGGCACCCCCACUCUGUACUUACGGUCAAGGCCGUUGAUGUAGCGCAUGGUGACUUCGCAGUGGCCCCACACCGCACUCACCACCGGGUACAGCUUCUUGCCCUUGAGGCCGCGGAAGGCCACGCCCAGAUACUGGCCGUCCACCACGAAGCUGAGCGUGCCCUCGUCCAUGUCCAGCACCACGAGCAGCGAGUCCGGCAGCGCGAAGGCCUCCUCGGGCCCCAGGAAGGCGGGGUAGGCCACUCCCGGCCUGUUCUUGCCGUCGUGGUAGAGGCGGCUGCGGCCCAGGUCCCAGCCCCACGACUCCGCGUCACUGCCCACCAGUGCCGUGUAGCCCACGGAGUGCAGGGGGGCUCGAGCCGUGGCCACCCCCACUACGGCGUGGGUGCCACGCUGCCGCGCCGGCCAGUUGAUCUGCCAGGCGUGCAGGCCCCGGGCGUGGCCCACCUUGCCGCGGAUGCCGUCGGUGCUCUGGGCCACCGGGUGCCGGUGGAAGACCCCAACUUCAGCACAUGCCAACCCUAUCCAGAGAGCUCUGGCUAAUGUUUAAUCUGGGGGAAACCAGAGCACGUAAAAAUUUGCAACACUAGACAGCCCGAAGAUAGCAGAAUACAGUUACUUCUUUUCAUAUCCCAAAUCGCCUAAAAUAAAGGAGAAAGAGAAAGAGAAAUGCAAAUUUUAUCUUCAGCAAAACCAGAACACAUUUGUAACCCGAACCACAACUUAUAAGGAAAGACUGCCAAAAACAGUCAAGGACUGCCAAAAGCAGCGAAGAUCAAACGGGGGUGAGAAAACACCUACAGAAAACACCUGUGGCUGCAGAUCUCGGCUAAAGCUGGCAGAGCCAACCAGUAGCUGGCACUCUCUGAUGGAAAAAAACCAAUGGUUCCUAAACAGAACAGUGGGAGCAGGGUAUGUGGUCUGGCAGUGGGAGCUGCCUCGGACAGCCUGAGGACAGAGGAGGGCAGGGGUAGCAAGAAAACCACAGGCCUGCCAUCGUCACAGGAAGCAGUGUGUUGUUGAGGCAGAGUGGGAGAUUGGGGGAAGCCCAUAGCUACAGAACUGUGCUGCUGGGUAGAAGCGAGGCCAAAAGAAAUCACGGCCUCAGUCCUAGGAACAAAAUUACCAUGAACCGGGAGCAAUCCUGCGCUCCUAAAAUACUUCCUGGCACCUCCCCUCUGCAUAAAUCCCCUGCAAAACGUUCAUCUAGAGGAAUUAGCACACGACAUAGUCAAAGAUGCUUACAGGAGAAAUAAAGGAGAGAGAGAACAACAACAACAACAAAUGGCAAAUCAAGAAAAUUCACCGGAAAAAAGCUGUCACAAAGCAUAUAAAAAUUGUGACUAAAUUUGUAAA